ensembl:lncRNA
GCUCUUCCGUCACAGUAAACACUUCCUGGUUGAAGCACAUGUGCGUAGUUUUUCUGGUUCCGGUUUUGUUUACUUUAUUCCUUUAUAACGCGAUCAUCUCCAGAUAAGAGGUUAUCAUGCCGAACUCUGUAUGUUUUUUUCUGAUCCGAUGCACCUAAAAAGAAGCCCGCAUCUUGUUUGUUUCGCAGAGUUACGCGAUGAGAUGCGCGUUUACAUUAUCGUAAUUUUAUAAACACAAGAAUUGCAUCUCGUAGUUGAAGUUUUCGGAAUCGCACUACAUCAUGCGGGGAAAACCGAAGUUGGAUAGAGAGUCAUGGAGUUCUGAGUCGUCUGCGGGGGAGAGCCCGCCCCGUGGAGCCAGUGGAUCAGACAGCGAUUCGGAUGGCAGCUUCUUCAUCACCCAGAAACCCGUCAGGUCAAGAAGACAGAAGCAAUCCGUUGCGAAGUCCCCGAAACGCAAAAAGGGAAAUGGGAAAGGGAAAAGCAGCACCUCCAAGACAAAAGACAAAAAGAAGAAUAUAAAAAGAGUCAAGCUGCCGGUCUACAGCUUCGAUCUUCUUCAAGAGGAGAAACCCACCAAUCAUGUCUUGAAUCACCAUCAGAACUUGGACAUCCAUAAUGCACUGAUGGGAGGCUUCUUCUGCAGUGUCCGAGAGCUGCAGGCAGCACGGCAAACCAAACAUCAGCCCUCAUCAUUACCCACCGUGGACCUGGAGGGAGACAUCUCUCCAAUAUCAGAAGAAGAAGGAACAUUAGAAGAAGAGGACAUCAAAGUGGUGAAGAACGAAGAUCUUGUGGUGUUGUCCAAAACAACGCGCCCACAGCCUUGGUACGAUCCGCAGAGGGAGAGUCAACACAGCGGCGCUGCAGCUGAAACGCCCCAUAAAGGACUCCGAGGAGCAUCUCCCUCCAGCAGCAGAGCCGGAAACUCUCCUGCAAGACGACAGACGUGUCACAAAUGGAGCGGAAUCCAAGCCAAAACUUCAAAGGUGAAGAAUAAUCUAUUUUUUCACCAAGAAGAGAGGCAGGACGGGCCAGCCAGUGACAGCGAUGCUACUUUCUGUGAGUUUCCUGAAGAAUGCGAACAAAGUGACGAUGGAGCAUCCGCAGCCGGAGCCGAGCUUCAGGUAGAGCCUGAAGCUGGAGGCCGAAAUGAAGCAGAUGGAGGAGAUCAUGAGAGCAUCGAAGAAGAGAGCUGUCAUAGUCACAAGGAGCCAGAGGGACUGGAACAAAUCACAUCACCUGUUAAUGUAGAAGACAAGACUCUUAAUCUACAAGAAGAGAGAGAUGUCCCCGAUUCACAACAGGAGAAAAAGCGAAAACGAGUUCACGAAGAUGUAAGUGAGCACAUGGAGGACAGUUCUGCUGCUUUAAACAGUGGCGUCAUUGAUGGGGCGGCCCACAAGAAGAAAAAGAGGAGAAUAAAUGAUGAAGAUCAAGAGAGGUUAAAAUCUGAUGAAGUUCAAAAUGAGGAUUUUCAGAUCGAGAAGAAAAAUAUGAAGGAAUCAAAUGAUGAUGGAUCAGGAACGUGUUUAGAAACUACUGAAGCUUCAGAGAAAGCGUCUCGUGAAAGAAUAAAGACGAGGAAAAAGAAAAAGAAGCAUCAGUUAGAAAGUGAAAUGAAACUCGGGUUUUCUGGUGACGCCGUCAGCGUGGCAGGAAGUCAGGAGCUGACGCCUGAAAAGACGAGUUUCUUUGAGAGCGAUGGAAGAACGGAAAACACAGCAGAGGGCGCCAAAGACAGCGGCGCUCAGCUGGUGACGAGAAAGAAGAAAAAGAAGCGGCUGAGUCUGAGCCUCUGCAGUGACACUGUGCCCCAAAGUGAUGAUUCAGUGCAGAAGACAGCGGAAAAGAAACAGACCUCUUCCUUCCCCGCUGCUGAUGCAGAGACGUCAGCCAGCGAGUCAGCAGAAUUUCGCAAACCUGACCUGGUCGGGAAAAAGAAGAAGAAGAAGAAGAGGAUGUUAGAAGCCACGAGGAAUGACGGAAAGCCAAGCGAGACGCUUCAGAUGGAUGAAGCAGAGAGGAAAAGACAGAAGACUCCCACAGGAGACCUGGAAACUGCAGAUGAUGAUCCAACUGAUGAGGACGGAGCAGUGAAGAAGAAGAAGAAGAAGAAGAAGAAGAAAAAAGACACAGGAGACGUUCCAACAGCUGCAAAUGAACAUAUUCAGUCUGCUGUGGAUUCUUGCGGCUCGCUCACACACGAGGUGGAUGCAAAGACUGGAUGCGAUGCUUCACUAGCCACUGAUGUCAAGAGAAAAAAGAAGAAAAAGAAAAAUGAGGAAUUUACAAAAGUUCCAUCAUUUAAUGGUGAAACGGGGACAGAUGAGAAGGAAAGACCCGAGGUGACGGCUGAUUUCAGCGACAGCUCACAGUUGUUUGAAAAGUCUUCACACAGCGUCAUUAGGAGGAAGAAAAGAAAAAGGAAAUCCAAGUCAGGACUUCCUCACACGCUGCUCGGAGCUGAUGGAGGGCCGGACUGACACACAACACAUUCAGGGAUUUUCAGUUGUGUCCAAAUGUUAACAUGAAAACAACUGAAAAAUGUUUUUAUCGAAAUGAUUUUAUAAGAAAAAUGAAAGAAACGUCUGCAUUAAUACCACAUUGAUGUAAUGAGUUUGUUUCUUCAUCUUUAAACGAAACAAGGUUUUCGAUUCUGUUUUGAUGAUUUUUAACGUUUCACCUCCCCAUAUAAGUCUGAUCACUUUAUGUGUCUACUAACUGCUGUGAACAAAGAAGUCUUCAGAAACACAGUGACAACACUGGAUGGGAAAUAUAUGAUCCCCAGGAGCCGUACCCAUCACUGAAAAUACAUUAUAUUGACGCUUGAUUUUACACUGAAGAACCUGCGGUCAUUGUUUGCAAACAUUUUCUACAGAAUAAAACACAUAAUGUUCUUACACCUGAGGAUUAUAGAAGAGGUACCUUUUCUGGCAAGUGCAUUCACGCAGGAUGAAAUAGUGUGUAUAAUCCUCAGCUAAUGUACAAACAUCACAUCCUAUUCUGUAUUUAUUUCUCAUUUAUCACAAAACUUGUGAAUUAUGAUUCACCCAACAAGUUUAUUUAUUUUUAUAUAAGUU